CUGUUAAUCACCAAAAGAAUCCUUUGGCAAAAGCUUUUGUGUUUGUGCUUGAUUGAGUUGGAAGAUGAGAUACCCCAAAGUGGGAGAUUUUUUGUUUCUAUUAAGAAAUACUUAUUUAUUUAGGGAGCCAAACCAAGCUGUUGGGCGGACGGUCAGUGCAAAUUUCCCAAGAAUUUCUAACACUCCCCAGUGUCCCACAGCAGGAGGAUUUGGUAUUGUUCUUGGAUACCUAAAUUAUUUUGAGACUAGAGAAGUGUGCGUGAACCGCAGGAGAUCAGCAGUUUCUGAGAUACUCAAACCACCCUGUCUGCCACCAACAAUCAUUCCACAGUCAAAGUCACUUGGAUCACAUUUUUUUCCAUUCUGAUGGUUGAUGUGGACAUUAACAGAAGCUCCUGACCUGUAUCUCCUGACCUGUGCGUUGCACUGCUGCCACACAAUUGGCUGAUUAGAUGAUCACAUGAAUAAGUAGGCGUAAUAAAGUAAACAUUUUCCUAAUAAA